rnacentral:rRNA from 1 species
UACGUAGGGACCGAGCGUUGUCCGGAUUCAUUGGGCGUAAAGAGCUCGUAGGCGGCUGUUCAAGUCGAACGUGAAAACUCGGAGCUCAACUCCGAGCCUGCGUUCGAUACUGGACGGCUAGAGUCUGGUAGGGGGAUCUGGAAUUCCUGGUGUAGCGGUGGAAUGCGCAGAUAUCAGGAGGAACACCGGUGGCGAAGGCAGCACUCUGGGCCGGUACUGACGCUGAGGAGCGAAAGCGUGGGGAGCGAACAGG